AUGAUUUAUUACUUCUCUGCUAAAUAUUUCCCCGCUCAUAAGAAACAAGCUGCUUUAAGGGAAAUAUAUAAUUUUGUGCAAGUUGAAGAAGAGAGUCUCCCACAAGCUUGGGGGAGGCUUCUCCAAUUAUUUAAUGCUUUGCCUGAUCAUCCUCUCAAGAAAAAUGAAAUACUUGAUAUCUUUUAUAAUGGACUAACUGAUGCUUCCAGAGACCACCUGGAUAGUUGUGCUGGUUGUGUUUUCAAGGAAAGAACACGAGAUGAAGCUGAAUUUCUAUUGAAUAAUUUGUUGACUAAUGAAAAUAAUUGGACACUUCCUGAUCCAAUUCAUGAUCCAAUUCCUGAACCAACUCCUAAGCCAACUCCGAAGAAGAGGGGUAUUCUAUUUCUCAGUCCUGAAGAUAUGCAAGAGGCAAAGAAAUCUAUGAAGGAAAAAGGUAUUAAAGCUGAAGAUGUUAAGAAUUUACCUCCUAUUGAAGAAAUACAUGGUCUUAAUUUACCGCCUAUUGAAGAAAUACAUGGUCUUGAUAACUAG
rnacentral:rRNA from 1 species